AGGGUUGCUGACGAUAUCCCAUGCAGCCCGCAGUACCUUGAAGGCCUCCUCCGCCCUUGGGUGUUUAUUCUUGUCUGGAUGAACCUAUGGAACAUUACAUCCCAUCCCCCAAAUCUACAGGGGAAACAGUCUUGAAGAAUAUUUGCAUGAACAUUUGAAAUUAGCUUCCUUUUCAACACACCAUUCUUGAAAUCGAAUUUUUGGAGAGUGUACACGGCUCCUUGGAUCAGCAAGUAGAUGAAGAUGUCCUUCAGAAGCCAGGAUGGAGGGAGAAUUUACCUUUGUGGUGCCCCCUUUCCCCUUGCUACAUAAUAGUGGCUUUCCAGGCAUAGCCAGAAUAAAAUACUGAAAUCCUGUACAAUGUUAGAAGCAAUGCCCUGGCCCCAACCAUGCCAGCUUCCCCUUGAGCCAACAAUCAAAGUCAUACAUCAUUCCUUGAGCAGUCAGCUUUGAGAUCCUUGAUGCCUACCCUGUGGACAGAAGACUACACUCAGAAAGUGGCUCCAAAGCCACUCCUCUGCUCUGACCCAAUAAACCCCAUUCCCCUCUCGGAUCUGCAGAUAAAGACUAAGAUUAU